rnacentral:rRNA from 1 species
GAUGAACGCUAGCGGCAGGCUUAAUACAUGCAAGUCGAGGGACAGCACAGGUAGCAAUACUGGGUGGUAACCGGCAAACGGGUGCGGAACACGUACACAACCUUCCUUUAAGUGGGGGAUAGCCCAGAGAAAUUUGGAUUAAUACCCCGUAAUAUAGUUGAAUGGCAUCAUUUGAUUAUUAUAGCUACGGCGCUUAAUGAUGGGUGUGCGGCUGAUUAGAUAGUUGGCGGGAUAACGGCCCACCAAGUCUACGAUCAGUAGCUGAUGUGAGAGCAUGAUUAGCCACACGGGCACUGAGACACGGGCCCGACUCCUACGGGAGGCAGCAGUAAGGAAUAUUGGUCAAUGGACGCAAGUCUGAACCAGCCAUGCCGCGUGAAGGAUUAAGGUCCUCUGGAUUGUAAACUUCUUUUAUUUGGGACGAAAAAAGGCCUUUCUAGGUCAACUGACGGUACCAGAUGAAUAAGCACCGGCUAACUCCGUGCCAGCCGCCGCCGUAAUAC